rnacentral:rRNA from 1 species
GAUGAACGCUGGCGGCGUGCUUAACACAUGCAAGUCGAACGAACCUUCGGGUUAGUGGCGGACGGGUGAGUAACGCGUGAGAAUCUGCCCUCAGGAGGGGGACAACAGCUGGAAACGGCUGCUAAUACCCCAUAUGCCGCGAGGUGAAAUGAAUUUCGCCUGAGGAUGAGCUCGCGUCUGAUUAGCUAGUUGGUGUAGGUAAUGGCUCACCAGGGCAUCGAUCAGUAGCUGGUCUGAGAGGAUGAUCAGCCACACUGGGACUGAGACACGGCCCAGACUCCUACGGGAGGCAGCAGUGGGGAAUUUUCCGCAAUGGGCGAAAGCCUGACGGAGCAACGCCGCGUGAGGGAUGAAGGCCUCUGGGCUGUAAACCUCUUUUAUCAAGGAAGAAGAUCUGACGGUACUUGAUGAAUAAGCCACGGCUAAUUCCGUGCCAGCAGCCGCGGUAAUACGGGAGUGGCAAGCGUUAUCCGGAAUUAUUGGGCGUAAAGCGUCCGCAGGCGGCCCUUCAAGUCUGCUGUUAAAAAGUGGAGCUUAACUCCAUCAUGGCAGUGGAAACUGUUGGGCUUGAGUGUGGUAGGGGCAGAGGGAAUUCCCGGUGUAGCGGUGAAAUGCGUAGAUAUCGGGAAGAACACCAGUGGCGAAGGCGCUCUGCUGGGCCAUCACUGACGCUCAUGGACGAAAGCCAGGGGAGCGGAAGGGAUUAGAUACCCCUGUAGUCCUGGCCGUAAACGAUGAACACUAGGUGUCGGGGGAAUCGACCCCCUCGGUGUCGUAGCCAACGCGUUAAGUGUUCCGCCUGGGGAGUACGCACGCAAGUGUGAAACUCAAAGGAAUUGACGGGGGCCCGCACAAGCGGUGGAGUAUGUGGUUUAAUUCGAUGCAACGCGAAGAACCUUACCAGGGUUUGACAUCCUGCGAAUCUCUUGGAAACAGGAGAGUGCCUUCGGGAACGCAGUGACAGGUGGUGCAUGGCUGUCGACAGCUCGUGUCGUGAGAUGUUGGGUUAAGUCCCGCAACGAGCGCAACCCACGUCUUUAGUUGCCAGCAUUUAGUUGGGCACUCUAGAGAGACUGCCGGUGAUAAACCGGAGGAAGGUGUGGAUGACGUCAAGUCAUCAUGCCCCUUACAUCCUGGGCUACACACGUACUACAAUGCUACGGACAAAGGGCAGCAAGUUCGCGAGGACAAGCAAAUCCCAUAAACCGUGGCUCAGUUCAGAUCGUAGGCUGCAACUCGCCUACGUGAAGGCGGAAUCGCUAGUAAUCGCAGGUCAGCAUACUGCGGUGAAUACGUUCCCGGGCCUUGUACACACCGCCCGUCACACCAUGGAAGUUGGCCACGCCCGAAGCCGUUACUCCAACCCUUGUGGAGGAGGACGUCGAAGGUGGGGCUGAUGACUGGGGUG